CACGUAGAGGCGCAAUGCUUAAGAGUAGGAUUUAUGAUUCUUGCAAGAGAAUAAGAUUAGAUCCAAAAGGAUGUGUUGCCGAAGGGAUAUGUUACUUGCAUGACCUAUUCCUGGGGGUAUAGUUAAUAACUAUACAACUGUCACCUUUUGCUAUACAAUAGGUGGUGUGCUACUGUG
rnacentral:ncRNA from 1 species